rnacentral:lncRNA from 1 species
AAAGCUAAGCUUGAGGGGGAGUGUUGAGAUGAGUUGAGGCAUUUGAGGUAAAGGCACAAAGGAGUUGAGAACAUAAAGAGAGCAAAGAGGUGAAGAGGAGGAAUGGGUUGAUCAUCCGUACAAGGCCGUACAAGUGAUCAUCCGUACAAGGUAAAAGGGGUCAAAGUAACUAUCCAAGUUACUCCCAUGUACUGAGCUUAAGUUACACUCGGCCAAGACCUUAUCCGAACGUUGAGAGGAUAAGGGAGACGCGGCUUGACAGCUAGGACAGGCUGGCAAGAGCUGGAAAGGAAGAGCAUCUAGUCUUGGAUCAAGAAGAUGCUCCAAACGUGUGAAGACACUCAUUGGCCGGUUCAAAUUAAAGCUUAGGCUCCUCUUUGACUCUACAUGCUUACUUAGCUUUAUGAUUUCGAAAACCCUAAGUGUAUGGACCUAUAUAUAUGUAAUCUCAUCCCUUAAUAAAGAUUAGACAGUUCUAAACAAUCCUUCUCUUUACUCAUUUCACUAUGAUUCUCCAUUAGUCUCUAAGUUGUCUCUUAAUCUCUUAUUCUCCUUCUUUAAUCCUUUCUAAACUCAGAUAAUCUUUUACAUUCCUAAAUGUCAUAUACAUAAGCAUAUCUCAUACUGUCUAAGUUCAAUCCUAUUGUUAUCUGAUGCUAUUGUCUAUGUUUAAUCCAUCAAUGAAAGUCUUGCAUCAAUUAGAAAUUGUCUAAGUUGUUUGCAUCAUUGGUUUUGAUUGAAACUGUUGUGCAUAGCCGUAAUAUUGCUCAUGGAUUGAACCUGUUGCAUUCACAUAGCUAAAGCUUUAAGAUUGUGCAUUCAUAUAGUAAUGCAUUUAAAAAUGAGCCUAAAUUGCAAAUGUACUGAUAAGCUUGCAUUGCAUUUAGAGAACUUAAAAAUAGAACUUGCAUUGUCAUUAUUAGAGAUUGAAAUCUACUUGUCUUGACUCAAUCCAGUUCUGAUUGUUGCUAUGCCAUAGUUAAAUCCAUCAGUGAUGUCUUAUAAGCACUUAGAAGUAUGUCUAAGCUAUUUGAAUCAUUGGCUUUGAUAAAACUAGUGAGCAUAAGCAUGAAUUGAGUCACUCUUGUUGCCUUGAUUGCAUAAGUAUCAUCUAGACUUGUGUUCCAUUUAGAUUGAAUCUGUUUCAUUCAUAUAGUUUGUGUGUAACCUAAUGCUGUCAUCUAUUGUUGCAUUUAAAAAAAAAAAAAAAAAACAAAACUGAAUUGAUUGUCUUUGCAUGAUUGUCUAGCUUGUUUCAAGUAUUAUAUAUUAUUGUUAUAUAUUAUUGUGGCAUUGGUGAUCAAACAGGAUAGAUAAUCUUGGUUUGAUCCCAAUGGGAUGAUCUGAUCUUGCAUUGAGUUGUGGUGGUGUUAGGUACACAAGGAAUGAGAUACAUGUAACUCACCAACAACCAAGAAUAUAAAGACAAAGGUCUUGUGCCAUUGCAUAUCAUCACUAGGACAUGUUAGUCCAUAAUCUACAGGAAGUGUAGUGUGAUUGAGUAUGCAAUGAGAGAUGGCCAUUGCAUAAUACCAUUGGACAUAUCUAGUCCUUAGUCUACAGGAAGUGUAGCAUGGGUCAUUAUGCAAUGAGAGGUGUGUCUUGUGAGACUCUCUAUGGUGAUUCAAACACCCUAGUUCCUGGUUAAGGAAGAGAGUAAACUCACAAGAAGAAAGCUAUCAUGAAAGAUGAUAGUUAUUAGACCAUGGAGAUGCAUAGGAUCAUCACAAGCUUAGCUCCUUCUAGUCUCGGUUCUAAGCUUGAGGGGGAGUCUUAAUGCAUAUGAUCCAUGGUCAGUAACAAGUCUUUUGCAAAAGCUUCUACAAGGAUCAUCAACCGGACCAAGUCAGUGGCGUGUCUAGGCAAGAGGCUGUUCAGAGCAGCCUUGGCGAGUGAGGAGGAAGGCUCUCCAUCAAUGCGGCUUCAAUGAGAGGUGAUUUAGGAGAAGCUGAUGAAUCC